rnacentral:rRNA from 1 species
CGGACGGGUGAGUAAUGUCUGGGAAACUGCCUGAUGGAGGGGGAUAACUACUGGAAACGGUAGCUAAUACCGCAUAACGUCGCAAGACCAAAAGAGGGGGACCUUCGGGCCUCUUGCCAUCGGAUGUGCCCAGAUGGGAUUAGCUAGUAGGUGGGGUAACGGCUCACCUAGGCGACGAUCCCUAGCUGGUCUGAGAGGAUGACCAGCCACACUGGAACUGAGACACGGUCCAG